CUUGUACACACCGCCCGUCACACCACGAGAGUUUGUAACACCCGAAGUCGGUGAGGUAACCCUUUUGGGAGCCAGCCGCCUAAGGUGGGAUAGAUAAUUGGGGUGAAGUCGUAACAAGGUAGCCGUAUCGGAAGGUGCGGCUGGAUCACCUCCUUU
rnacentral:rRNA from 1 species